CGCGGCGCUCUGAUUGGGUGGAGGGAGUGGCGUGAUGGGAGGGGGCGGGGAUAAGCGCCACGGGCGGCCUCCGAGCGCUCACCGGCAGCGGGAGGCGGGCGCGACGGGGCGCCGCGUCCGCUGAGCCGCCUCAGCUGCCUCUGUCGCUUCGCCGCGGCGGAGCGUGGCCGUGCGGCUGGGGCAGCGCGGCGGACCUCGGGGGUCCCUUCUGCUGUGCUGGUAGCGCCGGGCCGGGCCCGGUCGUCUGGGGUGACAGCAUCACUGUGCUUGGGAGCAGGCUGAGCCUCAGUCCCCGGGCUGGGUCGCUCGUGUUCUCAUGUGUGGCCGGUUACUGUCUCUUUGUACAGGCUUUCUUACCACGGCUGUAUGAAGGUUUACACGGGGUUGCAGCUUCACGGUUAGAGAAACUUCUUUGUCUUGAAGUGGGGAAUGACAAGCUUUUAUUGGAAGAUGAUGAUUUUUGAAUAAGACCUUGUCUGCAGAAAAGUGUCGUUUUUCCGUGGGCUAGAUGUGUUUUAAUGGAAGGCUGCCUGGUCUCUUGAAAGCUGCUCUGGCAGCUCAAACAAUUAGUCACGUCUGUAUGAUGUUGAAGAGUGCUAUGAAUGAUUGAUUGAUAAUUGAUCUCUUCCGAGACCAGUGCUUAAUUUGGUCAUGAAUAUUGUGUUUUCCAUCACUUUCUUCUGACUGAUCAAUUUUCCUGAGUUGGUUAUUGUCUUCAGCGUUACCAGGACACUGGACAUGAACUUACUUGAGCCUGCCCACUGGUGCAAGACAUCGCAUUAAUUUCAAGCAGAGGAAGGAGAGGACCUUGCGAGCUGUCCCUGCGAACUGAGGCCUAGUGAGAGACUGAAUCCAGCUCCGAUUGGCUGCAGAAUGCAAUCCAGGACCUUGGUUGCUGGCUCUGCAGUUGCUGAGACUUUCAAGAUUGGUUUUGUAUAUUUUGUAUUAUUUUCUCUCUUCUUAUUAGUAGCAUUAGUAAAACAUUUUUAAUUUUUCCAACUCUCCUCUCUCUGUCCUUCUUUCCCUCCCGAUCACCUGUCCUUAGUUGGAAGGGGGGAGAGGGAGGGGCAAAAGGGGGAAGUGGUGGGAGAGGAGGUUAACAAUACAUCUGCCAGGGUUUUAUUGUCACCCCACAAUCUAAACCCUCGACAAGCCACAAGAUGGCAGGAAAGCAAAAUAAAUAUUUUUUGCUGGAGCAGCUGCACUUGAAAGUGCCGUCUAAAACCAAAUACGGCAGAGAAUGGGGCUAAUUUUCCUUAUUAAAGUAUUGCUAAAGCCUUAUGAAGUUUUGAAAACUGUUAGAUAUUCCUUUAAGUAAUGUGUUUUGUUACUUGUGCUACACCAUAUUACUGUAUUUUUCUCUUAUGUGCUGUUUGUCGGUCAGGACAAAUACUGACUAUUCUUUUGCUAUAGGCAGAAAGUAGAAAAGCUAGCCCAAAUGGUUUCCUUUUUGGAUACCAUUGGAAUAUGGUGUGUAUGAAAAUGAAAUGCAGAAUGAAGUCUCCGCAUCUGGAAGAAAAACCAUGAUUUUCCUGAAUUAUUUUUAUUCUGUGGUUUAUAUAUUUUAUGGUAUUCCCCCUAACUCUUGCCUUGCAAAAAAUCUACCUUCACAUUAUUCUCAAAGCUGACUGCAAAACCAGUUAGGAGAUUCAAGUGCUGACUUCAUUCUUCUUGAUUUGAAGAAUAAAAGAUAGAGGUGUCUUCAAA